rnacentral:rRNA from 1 species
AUUGAACGCUGGCGGCAGGCCUAACACAUGCAAGUCGAACGAGCGGCGGACGGGUGAGUAAUGUCUGGGGAACUGCCCGAUGGAGGGGGAUAACUACUGGAAACGGUGGCUAAUACCGCAUACUAUCGGAUGUCCCCAUAUGGGAUUAGCUAGUAGGUGGGGUAAAGGCUCACCUAGGCGACGAUCCCUAGCUGGUCUGAGAGGAUGACCAGCCACACUGGGACUGAGACACGGCCCAGACUCCUACGGGAGGCAGCAGUGGGGAAUAUUGCACAAUGGGCGAAAGCCUGAUGCAGCCAUGCCGCGGGUAUGAAGAAGGCCUUAGGGUUGUAAAGUACUUUCAGCGGGGAGGCGUUACUCGCAGAAGAAGCACCGGCUAACUCCGUGCCAGCAGCCGCGGUAAUAC